AGGCUGAGGAUGUGAGGACCCAGCAGAGAGUCUUCCCCUUCCCACUUCCCCACCAAAUCAGCACUGCGGUGACCAGCAGGAAGCCUGAGCUAAGAAAGCCCUGGUCUGGAGUGCUGCAUUCCUGCGCCAGGCAGCAUCCUUUCCCAGUGAGAACGUCCUUCCCAUGACAUCAGCAAAACGGAUUCUGUUUCUCCUGGAAGUGGAAGAUCAGUAACCUUCCGCAUGCCCUGGCGUUCCUCCAGGAAGACAAAGAGAGAGAACAUUUAUUGGAAGCCCUUCGGAGGUCAUGACUUGAACUUGGCAUCCACCUUCCGUGUACUGUUUCAUUACGCUCCUGCCACAACCUCAGUGAAAUAGACACAUUUGCAGGGAAAGCCCCAGGCUGAUGUUGUCAAGAAAUGGAGAAAUGCCCAGAAGAAGCCAGUGAGGGCUGCCUGCAGACGACACUCCCUACCCCCAUUUUCUACUGGGAGUCUGGCACCUUCAGCUUUCUCUUCCAGAUGCAUUCACGGUGACACUUUCCAGCCAACGGUCAGCAUUUGUUCCAGUGAUGAAUGAGCUUAGUCAGCCAACAGAUAUUUACUGAAUACCUA
rnacentral:lncRNA from 1 species